UCUGCAUAUAUACCUAAUUGAGGAUAUUUAGGUUGUGAACUAGGGCAUCCAUUCUCCAUGUGAGGAUUCCUAGAUUGGUAAUUGAGUCAUGGUUGCCGCAGACGAUUCGCUUCUGAAAAGAGAAAAUUUUCUAGAAUGGGACUCUACUUCCAAAACCACAUAUGCAACCAUAUUUGCAAUUACACAAUCAAGUCAACCAAGCUCUAUUUGUGGUGACAUAACAUCUGUGUGAAGACCUCUUAAAAAAUGGUGCAAGUUGGGAUUAGAAGAGGAUUGAGAAGAAAAAAAAGCUAAUGCAAGAGGGACCCCAAUUGUUACUGAAAAAGAUAAUUCUUCUAGUCAAUUGCCAUCUUUAUUAGGCAGUUCUGCCUCAUUUGAUGCUGCUACUAGAGGAAACAAAAGGCCUACAACUGGUUUUGGUGUUUACUCUGAUCAUACAACUGGAGCUCAAGUAUUUAAUUGAGAAGAUUCUACAUGGGACAACAAAGUUGAAAAGUGCUUCACCAACCAAUAUAGAUAUUGAUUUUAAACCCCGUGGCCUAAAAUGGAAGGGAAAACAUGCAGUCAACACUUCACAGUUGCAACAAAUGAAAGCAAACAAGAAAAACAAAGGGUCUUGUGGAACCUCCAAGAAAUAGUUCAAUUGGAAAGUUGUUAUGAUUUUGGCCUAUGUUGAAAAGGUCUUCAACAAUCUACUCCUUAGUUUAUUUUGAACACUCAUUUAAUGUAUUUUUAAUCAUGCCUUUGUGUUAGCAAGACUAUGCAUUUUUUAGGACGUGUCUUUGUGUUAGCAAGACAAUGAUUUUUGAACAACAACUAGACUACCUCUCAAUGCAUUUGUGUUA